GAUGAACGCUGGCGGCGUGCCUAAUACAUGCAAGUCGAGCGAACGGACGAGAAGCUUGCUUCUCUGAUGUUAGCGGCGGACGGGUGAGUAACACGUGGAUAACCUACCUAUAAGACUGGGAUAACUUCGGGAAACCGUAGCUAAUACCGGAUAAUAUUUUGAACCGCAUGGUUCAAAAGUGAAAGACGGUCUUGCUGUCACUUAUAGAUGGAUCCGCGCUGCAUUAGCUAGUUGGUAAGGUAACGGCUUACCAAGGCAACGAUGCAUAGCCGACCUGAGAGGGUGAUCGGCCACACUGGAACUGAGACACGGUCCAGACUCCUACGGGAAGCAGCAGUAGGGAAUCUUCCGCAAAGGGCGAAAGCCUGACGGAGCAACGCCGCGUGAGUGAUGAAGGUCUUCGGAUCGUAAAACUCUGUUAUUAGGGAAGAACAUAUGUGUAAGUAACUGUGCACAUCUUGACGGUACCUAAUCAGAAAGCCACGGCUAACUACGUG
rnacentral:rRNA from 1 species